rnacentral:lncRNA from 1 species
GCAGCCGCCGGAGGAGAAAAGAGACGCAGACGCGAUUCGGCAGGGAAGAGCAGCAACAGUUCGGUUUCUCCAUAGCUGUUUUUAUUUACUUUGUUGCUUCCAAUUCAAGUAUGUCUAGCUAAUUUUUUUUAUACUGAGGUUAAGGAUGAAGCCCUAUUCAAUGAAAAAAUUAUCUUUUUAUUUAUUUAAUUCCCUUUAUAUGUUCUUUGAUGAUUAUGAUUUUUAUUUCACAUGAUUAAUUGGAUGUUAUUAAAAUCCUUUCAUCAAUUCUGUUAUGCAUUAUUGAUUGUUAGGAUUAAUAUUCGAUUAAAUCUAUACUUGGAUUCAUAAAACUUAGACAUGAUUAUCUUUGAUUAAAUUGUUUACACAGAGUGCUUAGAGAACUUUGACUCUUUGUUAUUCAAUAUGUUUACAUUGGAUGCGUAGAUAUUAUACUAUUAAGCAGAAAAAUAACCUACACAAGAUUAAUUUAUUUGGGCUUACAUAGAUUGAUUUCGAGUUGUCACUCUAAAAUUAGGGAUUAAUUAAUAAUUUGAUAAUUAUUAGUUGAAUAGUGGUGGAUUCUGAAACCUUGAUAGUUUUUGUCUUAUUGAAAUCUCAUUUUCUUUAAUUGUUUUCUUAGUUUAAUUAGUUUAAUUUUCUUAAAAACUCAAUUUGCUCAACUAGGUUAGAAUUAAUAUUAAUUUUAGAUUUAAAUUAGACUUUUCAAUUUAUAACAAUUCCUGUGGGAUCAACCUCGUUACCACUAUUCUAUCUCUAGAUUCGUGCGCUUGCGAGUAUAUUAAAAUUUUUCACAACAUGACUCUUUACACAGCCAUCCUAAACAUAAAUUUUUUUUUGUUGUUUUUGGUUUUUUGGGCUUUUUUUUUUUUAAAUAAACACACCUAUUUACAAUUUACAUCAACUAUCCCUUCCCCCCAACCUAAUCUAAAUAUUAUUCAUAAUUUAAACAUAUGCUUGCAAAAAGAUGAAAAAGAUAAAGAAAACAUAAAUAGGAAAUAUCACACCUGAACAAACCGUUGAAGAUGCGAUUUUAGAGCCGUUACACCCCAUAUUUAGCCACCUUCGACAUAAACAUUAUUAGGAUUUGGCAUAUUCCAAAACUGUCAACUAUUCCCUCCCCCCAACCUGAACAAAACAUUAUCCUCAAUGACUUAAAGGAAAUGAGUUUAGAAGACAUUACCUGAUCGCUCCAAGAAGAUAAUUACAACCAAAAAGUUAAGUCCAACUUGUACUUCUUACUAGGGCUAGGGUUACCAUCAUUAGUCAACCAUUCCAAUGCCAAUGCUAGGAUCUAGCUCUGGUUUGUAAGCUUGUAAAAGAUUAAGUAACUCAUUAGUAGUAUAAGCACAAAUAAAGAGUUUUUUUGUGGAGAUUGGAAUAAAAUGAUUCUUAAUUACAUGGUUAAUGAAUGUGAGCAAACCAUCAUAAAAAUUAUUAACAUUUAGUAAACCGAUAGGUUUUUUAUGGUUGUUCAAAUGGGCCCAAAAUGCAAAUGUAAUUAGUGCCUCUAAAUUUGUAAGAUCUCCUGUCAAGAAAAUGAAAACGUCAGCAUGAUUUAACAUCUUAGAUAUUCGCUCUUGCAUACUUGAGACAACUAACUCUUCUCCAAUUUGUACGUCGGACAGGCACCCUAGAGGUUUUAAGACUUGUGCAAUGAUACCUAGCACCUAGUUUCCUCUAAUAAAAAUAACUUAUGAGACAAGUUUUGAUAACCUACAGUCACCGCUCCUCUCAGCUAUGACACGACCAAGAUCUACAGCUGCCUGAACGAACUCCUUGUAUUUUUCGUAAUAAAAUCCAUAGAGCACACAUAUGUUUUUGAAUUGUCUACUCGAAGAUGUUGCCAUUGGAAUAAUCUUCAAAAACAAGUUGUGAGUGGUUGGAAAAAGAGCUCAUAUUUAAAGAUCUUAGUGACAGACAAAAUGAGAAACAACUGUAAAUUGGUUGGUGUAUUUGUCAGAGACACAUAAAGCUCAUGUCUCAAUAAUUCAAAAGCAAACAGUGAAAAGAAAAAAAACAUUAAAAGAAAACAAAUAAUGUUAAAUACAAAAUCACACCACUAAACGGAAUAAUGCCAUUGAUAAAAUAAUAGCAAAAGAAAAGGAUAUUUACUGGUAGUUGUGAUUAUGACUCAUAUUUUCCUCUGGUUUUACGUCCAGUAACGGCUCGAACGCCCUCUAUGGGUCGAGGAUAGGCUUUCCAUCCAGUUUUCUUAUAAACUGGCAAACAUGGUCUUUUUGAGUCAGAUUCUCAAGAUUACACUGUGCUCUUUCUUGUCUCCAUAACCUAUGAAUCUCAUAUUGCACAUGUCCGCUUUGAUGCGUCUUAAGAGAUCCUAAGAUAUUAUCCAACGAUUCUUUGCUCAGGUCAUCUUUAACGAAUUUAAUUUUAUCUUCUCGAUUAUCAGAAACCAUUCCUAAAUAUUUACAAAUUUCUCGUUUGCAACUAAGUCGUACACAGUUACGACAUUCUGAGCCAAGUUUUUUAGCUCUUUUUUUUUUUAGCAAAUGUGCUUUUACCAAAACUAGACAUGUAAAAAAUAAAUGGAUCAGAAAACUCACCUGCUAAUUGGACCUCUGCUUCAAUUAAUCAACGAAUGUAAGAAGGAAUGCCUUUGAUCAUUAACAAACGCAGUUGUUCACAACGAACUUUGUAAAUUUUCCUGAGGGCAUCUGAGGGAGAAAAGGAAAACGCUUAUGCAAUUUAUGUUGUAUUUCUUCCAUGCUUGAUUUUGGGAUGUCAGUUAUUAUGGGAAACUUAGGAUACCGACUUAAAAAGUUACGGAGUACAAUUAUUUGCUAUCUAUACAGGAAAAUAAAUCAAAACACACCAAAAUGAAGAAAAUCAUAUCUGUAAAAUCAAAUCAAAUGUGAAAACGACCAACAAAAAGAAACACACAAUGUAAAAAGAAAAAUGGACUCACAUUUGUCCUCUUAUUGAGUUAACUUCAAGCUCCAAUUGGAAGUCAUAUAUACCACCCUCUAUUUCUCUUAUUGUCUUUCUAGAUCUUCAACGUAGGCAAAAUGUUGGUGGUUGUAGUUCCCAAAUUGGAUGUGAUUUACAACUUUGUAUUAGGCCUCUUAAGUGAAAUUUCACUCGCAAAAAGUUUUUAAGAUGUCUUAACAGAACCUUCCUUAUUGAGGUACUUAUGAUGUAUAAUGACGAAAAAAAAACACAAUUAUCAAAAAAAAUUUAAGCAAGAAACAACAUAAUGCGUAUCAUGAAAGACAGUUGAACAAUUCAAACGGUAAAAUAAUAGUGAAAAGUUAAAUCACCCAUUAGAAACUUAAUAAAGAUUUAAUGGGCCACUCCAAUUUAUUUUAGUGCUUUCUUCACGUGGUUGGUAUUCCAGAUAUAGUUUUAAUCUUUUUCCAUUAACUUUAAAUGUGACAAUGUUAUUUGCAUUCUCAAUUUCUACAGCCUUAUAUAGAUAUACAUUUUUUUACAAUAAAUGGGAUACUCCACUUUGAAUUUAACUUUCUCGAAAAUAAAUGAAGACGAGAAUUAUAAAGCAAUGCUUUUUGACAAAUCUCAAAUGUUUUCCGAAAAAAUCUUUUAUCAUGAAAAGCUUUUGUUCUUGCCUUAGUAAUUCUUGAAUUUUUAUAUGCAUCAUUCCUUAAUUCCUCAAGUUCAUUCAAUUGCAAUUUUCGCGCAUUACUAGCAUCAUCUAAAUUUGAAUUAAAAGCUUUAAUGGCCCAAAAUGAUUUAUGCUCAAGUUCAACAAGUAAGUGGCAAGGUUUGUCAUAAACUAUCUGAUAGGGUGACAUUCCUAAAGACGUCUUAAAUGUAGUACGAUAGGCCUAGAGUGCAUCAGUCAGUCGAAGAGAUCAAUCUUUGCGGUUUGGGUUAACUGUCUUUUCAAAAAUUUGUUUUAUCUCCCUAUUUGCUAAUUCAACUUUACCAUUUGUUUGAGGAAUGAUUGACACUAAAAAGUGUACAUUUAAUGAGGAUAAAAUUAUUAAUUUUUCAUUUAUUGUGUCAAUUAAUGCGCUCGUUAUUUCUAAAUUAUCUUAAAACUCCUCAAAUAUAUUUUUAUGUUAAAUUAAUUCGUAAUAUGCUAAUUUUUAUCUUGUAAAUAUUUUUUUUCAGGAAUAAAAAGGAGUUGGAACUGGAAGCGGGAACAAACAAGAAUUACUGGAGCCAAUUGAAAAGAAUUAUUGAGGAGAUGUAAUUAAAAAAUAAAAAUAAAUCAAAAAAAAAAAAAAUAAAAAAAUAAAAAACAACAAUUGGG